CGCCUGGGGAGUACGGGUGAGGUAACGGCUCACCAAGGCAUCGACGGGUAGCUGGUCUGAGAGGAUGAUCAGCCACACUGGGACUGAGACACGGCCCAGACUCCUACGGGAGGCAGCAGUGGGGAAUAUUGCACAAUGGGCGAAAGCCUGAUGCAGCAACGCCGCGUGCGGGAAGACGGCCCUAGGGUUGUAAACCGCUUUCAGCAGGGAAGAAAAUGACGGUACCUGCAGAAGAAGGUGCGGCCAACUACGUGCCAGCAGCCGCGGUGACACGUAGGCACCAAGCGUUGUCCGGAUUUAUUGGGCGUAAAGAGCUCGUAGGCGGUUCAGUAAGUCGGGUGUGAAAACUCUGGGCUCAACCCAGAGACGCCACUCGAUACUGCUGUGACUCGAGUGCGGUAGGGGAGCGGGGAAUUCCUAGUGUAGCGGUGAAAUGCGCAGAUAUUAGGAGGAACACCAGUGGCGAAGGCGGCACUCUGGGCCGGUACUGACGCUGAGGAGCGAAAGCAUGGGGAGCAAACAGGAUUAGAUACCCUGGUAGUCCAUGCCGUAAACGUUGGGCACUAGGUAUGGGAUCAUAUCAACGGAUUCCGUGCCGUAGCUAACGCAUUAAGUGCCCCGCCUGGGGAGUACGG
rnacentral:rRNA from 1 species